rnacentral:tRNA from 1 species
ACUCUUUUAGUAUAAACAAUACAACUGACUUCCAAUUAGUAAAUUCUGAAAAAUCCUCAGAAAAGAGUA